rnacentral:rRNA from 1 species
UACCAGCUCUCCGAGUGGUGUGGAUGUUUAUUGGGCCUAAAGCAUCCGUAGCUGGCUGGACAAGUCCCCUGUUAAAUUCAGCGACCUAAUCGUUGAGCCGCGGGAGAUACUACUAGGCUAGGAGGCGGGAGAGGUCGACGGUACUUUCGGGGUAGGGGUGAAAUCCUAUAAUCCCGGGAGGACCACCAGUGGCGAAGGCUGUCGACUAGAACGCGCUCGACGGUGAGGGACGAAAGCUGGGGGAGCGAACCGGAUUAGAUACCCGGGUAGUCCCAGCUGUAAACUAUGCGGGCUAGGUGUUGGGGUGGCUACGGGCCACUUCAGUGCCGCAGGAAGCCAUUAAGCCCGCCGCCUGGGGAGUACGGCCGCAAGGCUGAAACUUAAAGGAAUUGGCGGGGGAGCACCACAAGGCGUGAAGCUUGCGGUUC